rnacentral:rRNA from 1 species
AGCAGUGGGGAAUAUUGCACAAUGGAGGAAACUCUGAUGCAGCCAUGCCGCGUGUGUGAAGAAGGCCCGAGGGUUGUAAAGCACUUUUAGUGAGGAGGAAAGGUUAGUAGUUAAUACCUGCUAGCUGUGACGUUACUCACAGAAAAAGCACCGGCUAACUCUGUGCCAGCAGCCGCGGUAAUACAGAGGGUGCAAGCGUUAUUCGGAAUUACUGGGCGUAAAGCGCGCGUAGGCGGAUUGUUAAGUCAGUUGUGAAAGCCCUGGGCUCAACCUAGGAACGGCGAUUGAAACUGGCAGUCUAGAGUUUAGUAGAGGGAAGGGGAAUUUCUGGAGUAGCAGUGAAAUGCGUAGAUAUCAGAAGGAACAUCAGUGGCGAAGGCGCCUUCCUGGACUAAAACUGACGCUGAGGUGCGAAAGCGUGGGGAGCAAACGGGAUUAGAUACCCCGGUAGUCCACGCCCUAAACGAUGUCAACUAGCUGUUGGUCUUAUUAAAAAGAUUAGUAGCGCAGCUAACGC